rnacentral:sRNA from 1 species
GCCAGGUGUGGUGGCCCACGCCUGUCAUCCCAGCAGCUCAGGAGGCUGAGGCAGGAGGAUGGUGAGUUCAAAGCCAGCCUCAGAAAAGGCAAGAUGCAAAGCACCUCAGUGAGACCCUGUCUCUA